rnacentral:misc_RNA from 1 species
GUAGGUGAACCUGCGGAAGGAUCAUUAGAGAUUGGCCUCACGGCCGUUUUCAAAUCCACACACACACCGUGAACCGUUCCCGCGUCUCCAGGGACGUGGGACUACCAACCAAAACAUUGUAUAAAGAACGUGAAAUGUAUAAACGAAACAAAACUUUCAACAACGGAUCUCUUGGCUCUC